AGUGAACGCUGGCGGUAGGCCUAACACAUGCAAGUCGAACGGCAGCACAGUAAGAGCUUGCUCUUACGGGUGGCGAGUGGCGGACGGGUGAGGAAUACAUCGGAAUCUACUUUUUCGUGGGGGAUAACGUAGGGAAACUUACGCUAAUACCGCAUACGACCUACGGGUGAAAGCAGGGGAUCUUCGGACCUUGCGCGAUUGAAUGAGCCGAUGUCGGAUUAGCUAGUUGGCGGGGUAAAGGCCCACCAAGGCGACGAUCCGUAGCUGGUCUGAGAGGAUGAUCAGCCACACUGGAACUGAGACACGGUCCAGACUCCUACGGGAGGCAGCAGUGGGGAAUAUUGGACAAUGGGCGCAAGCCUGAUCCAGCCAUACCGCGUGGGUGAAGAAGGCCUUCGGGUUGUAAAGCCCUUUUGUUGGGAAAGAAAAGCAGCAGGUUAAUACCCCGCUGUUCUGACGGUACCCAAAGAAUAAGCGCCGGCCAACUUCGUG
rnacentral:rRNA from 1 species